rnacentral:sRNA from 1 species
AAAAUGAGUAACGUGAAGUUAGAGUAAUAAUUUUAAACUUUUACUCUAUUGAUGGCCUAGAGAUCGAGUACAUUGGUCGAGUAUGAGUGAUGUUUAAAACCCAAAAAAUUUUAAAUCAUCGUUUUACUCGACCAACAGAAGCUACAGGGUCUUCCAAGGAGUUUAUCAAGUUUACAGAAGAUUGUGGGAUUUCCUGGAGGUUUUCUAGUGAAAAGAGAAGAGACAAGAAGACAUUGUGGGAUCCGCCGCUGACGCCCAUGUCCUCCAUGCAACAGACCAACGGACAAGGAAUCCCCCCUCAUCUCUUCUCCUCCACUCGACGUCUACCACAUCACUCGACCUCCAUCCCUCUCUACUCGACCUUAUCACCUCGUCAUCUCCUCCAUCACUCGACUUCAGCGCCAUCAUCAUCCGUCCAAAGCACCACUCGACCUCACCAUCUCUUUUCCUCAGGCACUCAACCGCUUCUCUCUCGCCUUUCACAGCCACCGCUCCCAUCGCCUCUUCACCACCGUCUCGAGCUACCACUCGACCAUUCCUCACCACCACCACCUCUCAAUCGUCUUAAAGCACUCGACCUCUUCACCACUUGACCAAGCAGUCGUUUCUCCUCUUCAAGGAAGACACUCGACCACCGCUUCUCUCAUCUCUCCAAUCACAACAUCAUUCACCACUCGACCUUGCCUCCCGCUUCACCAUCUCCACAUCAGCUCUUGUUCUACGUUUACUCGACCACUACACAGCCUUCUCUAGCUCACAACUCCACUAGUCUUCACCGAAACCACUCGACUUCACGCGAAGAGCACCUCCGCUUCUCCCCCGCCUUCAUUUCAAAGUUCACUCGACCGCUCCUCUAUUUCCACGGUCAAACCGCAGCUGUUCUCCUCCUCUUCAAGCUCACCACUCGACCGCCGCCUCACUCUAACCACGAAACAAGCUUCACUCGACCAAACAAAAUCACUCGAUCAACCGAAAGAAAAGAAAAAAAAAAUUCAAAACCAAAGGUUUACUCGACUACGUCACUCGACCGGUUCACUUGAUUGGUUUGUGUUUUUGGUUUGUUGUUACUAACGUAUUAACGUUUAUUUUUGAGUUUCUUCUGUUUUCAGGUUUCAUCAUGAGUAACUACAGUGGAGAAUCCUCUAAGGACCCUGAUUACAAUGUGGAUGAAGCUGAGUCCUGGUCCGCUAGACCGAGAGAGCAACAUGUUUACCAAAGCUUCAGGGAUGAAUUCGAACGCUCUGCAGCCCGACGUAAUCAGAGAAGAGCUGAAAUCGCCAGAGGAAAGAGGGCGAUGUCGAGUAGAUAUGAGCUGAUUGAUGAGGACUGAUAUGUCUAUAAUUUGCAUGUUUUCAGUGUCCAUUCAUCAUCGUUUUGAGUCCAGUUUCGUAUCAUUCAUCACUGUUUUAUAUCAUUUCUCAUCAUUCUUGCAUACUUUGCAUGAUUAGGAUAGCUUUGCAUACAUAUUGCAUUUCUGAGUUGUUUUCAGGUGAUUUGGAGCUGUUUGCGAGCAAAUUGGAAGAAACGAGCCAGAACCAGAAGACAUACUCGACCACUAGGUCGUGUGCAUCUAGCACCAUACUCGACCCCCAAGUCGAGUAACUUUGGAGCCAUUCUUCCCACCUACUCGACCCCCUGGUCGAGUAUCCCCAGCUCAGGCCACUCGAUGACGCCACUCGACCCCCUGGUCGAGUAUCACUUCGCCACACCACCUGACCACACUCGACAAUUCACUCUACCAAGUUACUCGACCCCCUGGUCGAGUAUCAUCACUCACCACCAUCACCAUCACUCGACCGGACACUCGAUCACGUCUUCACAGUCUACUCAAAUCCGCACUCAACCAAACAAGCUGAGCACAAGGAAGAGAAGAGGAGAAGACAAAGUGUUUGGAAGCGGCUUGGACCUCCAUCUGAUCACGAAGCCCAUCUCGGCCCAAUAUCAUUCUAUGGGCCGGGCGAUUAGGUUAUUGGCCCGUCUACUAUACUGAGACAUCUAGUCGACAUUGAGUUUUUGCUUCAGUUUUAUUUUCAGUUUUACUCUGCUACGCCGCUUUUGCUUCUGCAACCUGUAAUUCGAGAUUUUUCUAAGUUAUUUAGAUUCCGCAUUUGAUUUCAUAUGUCAUCUUGUUUCUCUACUCUUUAUCUCUUUACUUAUGCAAUAUUAUCAUUUAUCUGCGUUUAUGUCUUUGAGCAUGUUGUAUGAGUAGUGACUUAGAAUUCUUAGGGUUGGGAUAGAGUAAUUGUGGAAUCCGUAGUCUGUAGAAUGGUUAAGUUUUAGAAUUGAUUGAAUCCCUUCAGGACUAGUUGCGUUUACUGCUUAUUUCUUUCUGAUCAACUGGAAUUCGAUCUCAAGCAUUCCCGCACCCAGAAGGUGUUCGAUGGAAUGCUUGAUCCACUAGUUCCUGAGAUAUUCGUCUCUAUCCCAAGGGAUUGGCGGUUUAGAGCGGUUAUUGACUUUAUCAGUCUGUUCUUAUUGCCUGCAUAGUUAGAUUCCGUUAAUGGGAAUUAGUCUGGGCUAGCUUUGCUUGAGGAUUUCUAUCACGGGAGUGAAUUGAUCUGUUGUUGAACCUGUUGUCUAGGGAUAGCUUGAUUGCGCUUGUUAACCAUUCCGAUAGGCUAGGAUACCACUCUAUUCGAUUGCCCCAUCCUUAGGAAUUUCUCGUCUAUCUGAUUUCUCUGUUUUAUCGUUAUCGCUUAUUCGUUCUCAUUGCCUGUUUCUUCGUUUUUGCAAUUACUCGACCAACUUACUCGACCACACCCAGUGUCUGGCAACAGACUGUGCAGUCGAGUACAGUUGUCUCGUUUCCUGUCUGUUACUCGACCACACCCAGUGUCUGGCAACAGACUGUGCAAUCGAGUAUAUCUGUUUCAUAUCCUGUCUGUUACUCGACCUGUUACUCGACCAUAUCCUACUUCUGGCAUCAGCCUGUUGUGGUCGAGUGAUUUUAGUAAUUCUGUUAUUGUUUCUGUUUUCUGCAUGUUCGCUUAGGACUGUUAGAAACCCCAAAACUGUUAUUGCUUGGCUUGACUUAGUGACUUCUGAUCACAUCUCAUCUGUUUGCAUCACACCCAUUUGGAUUGACACCUAAAAUACUACAACGACAUGAUUGGUGUUUUAGGAUAAUUGACUAAAAACCUAUUAUCAAGGACAUAGAAACUGAGUAUGAGCCAGAGUCAUGGCUUAAGGAGACAAAGCUGAUGAACAAACCCGACGAGGUUACAGUGGAGGAGUAUAUCAGAUUCUUUGAGAUGAAUGACUUCUGGGGAACGAGGUAUCCGUGCUAUGAGAAUUUAGCCCAGUUGGGGUUACUGGAGGACGUGCAGCAUCUGUUCGAGAAGUGUCAUCUGGAGACACUCAUGUCUUACCCUUACCUUGCCUAUAGGGAAGAGACAAUCGAGUUUCUUUUCACGCUGCAAGUGGAGAUGUAUAAGGCACUCACAAACUUUUAGCUGGAUACCAUGGGGUUAGGCUUCUUGACGUUCUCAGUGAAUGAACAGCGGUAUCAGCUUUCGAUCAACAAGUUGGAAGAACUGUUUGGUUUCCCUAGUGGAAAGGGAACCAAACCCAGAUUUGACAGAGAAAAGCUUAAGGAUUUGUGGGCCAUUAUAGGGAACAUCUACCGCUAAACUCGGUGUGGUCCAAGAGCAACCAAAUCCGGAGUCCUGUGAUCUGCUACUUUCAGAGAUUGGUUGCCAACGUCUUUUACUCCAGGGAGUCUACAGGCACCGUGUCUAACACGGACAUGGAGAUGAUAGAUUAUGCGCUUACAGGGAUUCUCCGCCGGACGAAGGGAAAGAAUGUCUUGAGAGGCGAUCUCAACAACGCACCACCAGUAAUGCCUCUGUUGAUCCAUCUGUGUGGAUACAGGAAGUGGGCGUUGACGAACGGAAAGAAGAAGGUGAGAGGAGCACAAUGCGUGGGUGGCGUUGUGACGCCAAUUCUCGAAGCUUGUGGAGUACCGCUCAAGGAACCAGGGUUAGCACCGAGGAUGAUGGACUUGGAUCAUUUGCGCAGAUGUGAGUUCUUGGAGUUUGACAUGGCUGGCAACUUUCACCGCUACAGGUUCGAGCAUUCAUCGAUUAGAAUCGCCAUCAUUCUUCUCCCCUGCAUUAACGCUACUAGGAUUCUCGAGGGCAGGAACAUUGACUUCAAGCCUGCGCUUGAAGAUCUUUAUUUCGAGGGUAGUUCACCAACUGAGGAGAUCAGUCAUACCGAAGGAGCUACAACAGAAGAUGUUGAUAAGACGGAUGAUAUAGAUGAGGCGGAGUUUGACACGAGCAUGUAUCAUUUCAGUGAGCAUAUACCUCCUGCGAGGAAAAGCAAGAGUUUGAGCGAAGCUCACAGGAACACAGCAAGCUGCAGAAGUGGUGCAAGAAACAUGAUAAGUUACUCGCCAAGUGCCUCAGGGCUAUCAAGUUUCUGAAGGACAAGAUCAGCUGCUCCUCUUCCACUACAGCUAUCCCGCAGGGACAUCUUCCUCAGGACAUGCCUUCGAGGAGAUAUGAUGCGCCCGAGCCAAGUCAGCGCAGGCCUGAGCCUAGAGAGCAGGAGAUUCCGCAUGUCCCUGCGAGGCAUUCAUCAUUCGAGCCUCGUGAAUCUGGGAGGAAGAGGAGGACCACACUCACUCGAUCUAGAAGUAGGAGCAGACGACUUCUGCAGUCUCGUAGUUUACGCGACCGCGAUGCUGGCCGCAGCCGAAGGAGAGAGGUCGAGUAUCCUCAGAGCGGUACUGGCGGCCACAAAGCUGAUGAGGUCGAGUACCCACCUGCUGGAGCUGAUACGGAACAAGGCGGUUCGUCCAUGGCCUGGGAGCAAACACAGACAGCCAUUGACGAGCAACUACGUUCAUUCUUCGACUGAGGUAAGCGCCUCACUUCACCAUUGUAUUAUAUCAUCUGUUGUGAUUUGUUUCUUCAUUUUUUGUUACGGUGAUUGGAUUUGUCCUGAGUACUCUCUUCCAAGUUUAUUCACAUAGUGGACUGUGUGAUUUAAGUUUGGGGAAGGGCUCAGGAAGUGUGUGUUGCAUUGUAUAUAUUUUUGAGUCUGCAUUCAUCUAAGGCAUAGGAAAACCAAAAA